ACCAGGGGCGAGAGCACGUUGACAGUACCGGUUCCCAAUGGAUCACUGAACUUAAGCAACGUUGCGCGUGGUUGGUAUCCGGAUGGGUGACAGUACUG
rnacentral:rRNA from 1 species